rnacentral:rRNA from 1 species
GUCGAACAGACUCAAUUUUUAAGCUUCUGCACCUAAAAUAAAUUUUAAUCCAACAUCGAGGUCGCAAUCUUGUAAUUCGAUAAGAACUCUAAAAGAAAUUACGCUGUUAUCCCCAAGGUAACUUAAUUUAAAUUUAAAAAAAUAGAAUUCCUAUUCAUAAAUAUAUGAUUAAAAUUAAAAGAGUUUAUUAAAUCUUUUAGUCACCCCAACCAAUUUUUUAAUUUUAAAUAUAAUACUAAAAAUCAAUAAAAAUAAAACUCUAUGGGGUCUUCUCGUCUUUUACAACCAUUUAAGCAUUUUAACUUAAAAAUUAAAUUCACAAAAAAUUAAAAAGAGACAGAAAUUUUCUUGUCCAAUCAUUCAUUCAAGUUUCUAAUUAAGAAACUAAUUAUCACGCUACCUUUGCACAGUCAAAAUACUGCGGCUAUUUAAUUAUCAUUGAGCAGAUUAGACCUUAAAUUAUUAUCAAAAGGACAUGUUUUUAUAACAGGCAGAAAAUUAUUUUGCCGAAUUCCUUUUAUUAACCUUGCAAAAACAAAUAAAAUAAAUUUAUUAUUACUAAUUUUAUCAUUAUCAAAAAAAAUUUAAAAUUCACUAUUUUAUUUUAAUAAAACAAUUAAAUAAAAAAAAAUCUUUUAACAAUAAUACCUAAAUAUUAAUUUAUUAAAGAUUAACAAUUCAAAUUAUACAUAAUAUUAAAAAUUUAGUUAUUAUAAUCAUAUAAUUAAAAGCUCAUCCCAUUAAAUAUUUAAUAUUAAAACUUAAGAAUUAAAAGUAAAAACUUAAAAAAUAAUAAUAGAAUUAAAUUCUUUUCUUAAAAAACUAGAUAUAUUUAAAAUCGAAUAGCAUUUCACUUCCAAUUAAUUAUUAUAAAAAAUUAUUCAACAUUUAAAUAAAUAAUUAAUUAACUCAUUUAAAUUCGAGAAAAUUAAAUUAAUAAUUUUUAGUUAAUCAACCCUGAUGCACAAGGUACAAAAAUUAAAUUUUUCUUUUUAAAUAUUAAUAAAAUUCAACUACUUUACUAAUAAACUAUAAUUAUAAAUAAUUUUUCUAAUUAAUAAUAAAAUAAAGUUUCUUCUAAAAAAAUAAAUAAAUAAUUAAAUUAUAAUCAAAUCAUACUGAAUUGCACAGUAAUCAUUUUAAUGUAAAUAAAAAGCUUCCUAAAGCUUUAAUUUGUAUUCUAGAUACACUUUCCAGUACAUCUACUUUGUUACGACUUAUCUCAAACUGAGAGCGACGGGCAAUAUGUACAUAUUUUAGAACAAUAAUCAUUAUAAUAAAAUAAAUAUAAUUACUAUCAAAUCCAAUUUAUAUUAAAAAUUUAAAUUUAAUAACCAAAAAUAAAUUUAUUGUAACCCAUCUCCUUCUUAUCCAUAAGCUGCACCUUGAUCUGAAAUACUUUCAUUUAAAAAUAAAAGAAAAUUUUUCCCUAAAAGAAAAUUCAUUAACAACGAUAUACAAACUAGAAGAAUAAG